GCUGCUCCCGGAACACCGCUCCUGGAGCGAUUGUUUCAAUGUUGCUUGCUCGGAAUGGCCCUCCUGAGCAAACAACAGACGGUGCUCAAAGUAACAACUGGACUUAAUAAAAGGAGCUUACACGAAGGAGGAGCUGAAGGCUGCUGUGGUCGUGUGCUGGGGGCUGCCCCAGCUCCAGCUGCAGGACCCCGGCCGUCUGCCUUCCGACUCCGGUGAUGAUUCUUCCUGCGGUCUGAUCAAGAUUCUAUGCAGUUAACUUUGUAUCCAAGGAUCUAUAGCCAAGAAAUUUGGAGCUCAGUUUCAAACAAGAAAUCUUAAAAGUUUGAGAAGAAAAUAUGGUAAAUAACUAAGAGAAAUCUCUGGUCAAUACUCAACAAGUCCUUCAGUCCAACAAUAUUCCAUACAUGAAAUCCUGCCAAAAACCAGACUCAGCACCAAACACACGAGAUGAAACAUAAGAUGCAUAAACACAACCCUUGCCUUUGAAGAAAAUUUGCACUAAUGGCAGAGAUGGGUGCUGUAUGAGUGAGCUGUGGCUGCCAUAGCAAGACAUCAUAGAUUGGAUGGCUUAAACAACAGAAAUUUAUUUUUUCACAGUUCUGGAGGCCAGAAAUCCCCAAUAAAGGUACUGACUGAU